rnacentral:lncRNA from 1 species
AAAUUCAUCAUGGGAGGGAGGAGCUGAAAACCUGAGCAGAGUGUAAGAUCCAAGAGGUCAUGGGCCUUUUUCUUUCUUUCUUUGCCAUGUUAUCUCCAACAUCUGGAACAGAGUCUGGCACAAAGGCUUCCGUGAAUUUGGAGAUUUUCCUGAGCUGGGAGGUGACCAAACAUAUCUACUCCUUUGAUCUCAACACUUCCUGAAAAACAGAUACUAACAACCAAGAUUUUCAGAGAGGCAAGGCUAAGCACCAGCCAGGAAAUAGAAGCAUUCCAUGAGGCCAGCAUUAACCUAACAUCAACACCAGAUAAAGACGUUUCAAGAAAGAAAAACUAUUCUAUCC